rnacentral:rRNA from 1 species
UACGUAGGGUGCAAGCGUUAAUCGGAAUUACUGGGCGUAAAGCGUGCGCAGGCGGUUCUAUAAGACAGAUGUGAAAUCCCCGGGCUCAACCUGGGAACUGCAUUGGUGACUGGCAGGCUUUGAGUGUGGCAGAGGGAGGUAGAAUUCCACGUGUAGCAGUGAAAUGCGUAGAGAUGUGGAGGAAUACCGAUGGCGAAGGCAGCCUCCUGGGCCAACACUGACGCUCAUGCACGAAAGCGCGGGGAGCAAACAGG